GCUCUCAGCGCCGCUCAGCGCGGCGGGCCCGCCCGGGCUCAGGUGCCCCCCGCUCUCCGGACCUUCUCGCCCGGCCCCGCGUCCCCUCCGCGGGCUUCCCCCGGCGGCCGGCCGGGCUCGGAGGCUCGCGGCCGGAGCGGAGCGGAGUGCGCACGCCGGGGUGGCAGGACUUCGGCAAGACCAACUUUCCGGUUCGGAAGCGGCGCGGGCCGCGCGGCUCCUCCCCUCCUCUCCCUCCCCUGCGUUCCCCCUCCCUUCCACUCCCCCCUCUCCCCGCCCCCCAACCCGCGGGCCCCACCGACUCCGGAGCGCCCGCCCCGCCCGCUGCUGCCACCGGGCCGCCUCGCCCCCGCGCCAGCCCGCCUGGGCCUCUGCGCCGCCGGCGGCUUCUUAAAUACAGGAAAGGGAGGGGACCGCAGGGCCCCGGUGUUCCCCACCCUAGUCCCCCUUCACCACGGGCCACCGGGCGCCAGCGGAGUGGGCAGCGAGCGCGACCGAAAGUUCCAACUCCACCAAACUCCCGCGCGCGGCCCACCCUUUCCCGGGAUUUCGGGGAUGACACGGGGGCCAGUGGUCCUGUCUGGUGUGAACCGUCAGCACAGAUGGCCUCCUGGAGCUUCCCCGAGUCGUUCGCUGGGGGAAGCGGGCGGUGAGCGGCCAGCCCGGGCGCUCCGCAGGCCGCGAGCUCCCGGCAGGGCUGGUGGCGGGGGUCCGCCUGGGGGAGGAAUCCCCGCCUGCUCCAUCGGACCCGGCCUGGCGCGGCUCGCGGCGCUCGGCGGGCUCCCUUCCAUUCUAGAAUCUUCCCGCUUGCUUCCCAGCCCGCGUUCUUCCGCCUGCCUUUAAUUGUGUGUGGACGUGGGGAGGAUCUUCUAAGUCCCUCCAACGAAGGCAAGUGUGAGACUCUGGCCCUUUAUUUGUAAGAAGCAAGCCUUCAGAUUGCAGAAGUGUCGCGCGGGUCGCCGUGCGUUGCGCGAGUGGGAAGAUGGAGGAGGCCGGCACGCUGCUUUCGUGGACGCAAGUGAACCGGGCGUGAAGGCAGGGUGCGAGCUCUGCCCUUGGCCCAGCCCUGCGUGGGCGCCGUCCCAGAUUCCGGGCGGUGCGGGGUGCAGAGAUCUGGAGAGACUUGCGGGCUCCCCAGCGCAGGCUGCUCUGGGAUUUCGUUGGAAGAUCCGGCAGAGCCUUGGAGGAGAGGGCCCGGGAGGCUGUGUGUGCAGCGGAAACUUGUACGAAUGCCCCCACAGCGGAAAUGGUGCGCACGAGUAAUUUCUGCGGUGCACCCUUUUAAAAAUUGACAAGUGAACAAGAUCAAUUUUUUAAGAAAGCAAAGGUAGAAAACAAAAGGCGUGCGACUUCUUGACUGGCUUGUUCCCGCCUUUCUUCCUUCUCUAUACUCAGAUCAGAAACUUUUCUUUAAUUGCUCUUAUUCAGUGCGACAACUUUUAAUAAAAGCAUUUGCAUUUUAAGCCUGAGUUGCAACCAUAGAUUUAUUGCGAAGUGACAACGUGUCUAUGGAAUAUUUUCGCAGAUGAGACAGGACAUGCGCUCUAGUCGUGCCCAGAUUAAAGCGACGCUGGGCCAUGUGCCUGUGUAGUGCAGACUCGGAGGGGCACACACAUACUCGUCACCACAUGACCACUGUCUAUUAAUAUUGUCAUACCUAAACACUCGCAAAAACAAAAGUUGCUUUUCUUCCCUGUAAUUAAAUCUAAUUUG
rnacentral:lncRNA from 1 species